UGCGGCAAAUAUUGUCGGGUCCGAGAGUCGAACUCGCGACGGCCGAGUCGAGGACUGAAGGGCUCCAAACAUGGGUUGCGCUAACCACUACGCCACCACGGCACACCCAAUUGCUAAAAGA